AUGCUAUAGUGUGGGCAUGCUUCAAUGUAUUCCUAGAGACGUCCUAGGCUUCCGAGAUCGUCUCAUCCUGGAGUUGUUGAAAAUUGGAAAUCCUAUUCCAAAGGGC